rnacentral:rRNA from 1 species
AGAUUAAGUUAUUAAGGGCGCACGGUGGAUGCCUUGGCACUAGAAGCCGAUGAAGGACGUUACUAACGACGAUAUGCUUUGGGGAGCUGUAAGUAAGCUUUGAUCCAGAGAUUUCCGAAUGGGGAAACCCAGCAUGAGUUAUGUCAUGUUAUCGAUAUGUGAAUACAUAGCAUAUCAGAAGGCACACCCGGAGAACUGAAACAUCUUAGUACCCGGAGGAAGAGAAAGAAAAUUCGAUUCCCUUAGUAGCGGCGAGCGAAACGGGAAGAGCCCAAACCAACAAGCUUGCUUGUUGGGGUUGUAGGACACUCUAUACGGAGUUACAAAGGACGACAUUAGACGAAUCAUCUGGAAAGAUGAAUCAAAGAAGGUAAUAAUCCUGUAGUCGAAAAUGUUGUCUCUCUUGAGUGGAUCCUGAGUACGACGGAGCACGUGAAAUUCCGUCGGAAUCUGGGAGGACCAUCUCCUAAGGCUAAAUACUCUCUAGUGACCGAUAGUGAACCAGUACCGUGAGGGAAAGGUGAAAAGCACCCCGGAAGGGGAGUGAAAUAGAACCUGAAACCGUGUGCUUACAAGUAGUCAGAGCCCGUUAAUGGGUGAUGGCGUGCCUUUUGUAGAAUGAACCGGCGAGUUACGAUUUGAUGCAAGGUUAAGCAGUAAAUGUGGAGCCGUAGCGAAAGCGAGUCUGAAUAGGGCGUUUAGUAUUUGGUCGUAGACCCGAAACCAGGUGAUCUACCCUUGGUCAGGUUGAAGUUCAGGUAACACUGAAUGGAGGACCGAACCGACUUACGUUGAAAAGUGAGCGGAUGAACUGAGGGUAGCGGAGAAAUUCCAAUCGAACCUGGAGAUAGCUGGUUCUCUCCGAAAUAGCUUUAGGGCUAGCCUCAAGUGAUGAUUAUUGGAGGUAGAGCACUGUUUGGACGAGGGGCCCCUCUCGGGUUACCGAAUUCAGACAAACUCCGAAUGCCAAUUAAUUUAACUUGGGAGUCAGAACAUGGGUGAUAAGGUCCGUGUUCGAAAGGGAAACAGCCCAGACCACCAGCUAAGGUCCCAAAAUAUAUGUUAAGUGGAAAAGGAUGUGGCGUUGCCCAGACAACUAGGAUGUUGGCUUAGAAGCAGCCAUCAUUUAAAGAGUGCGUAAUAGCUCACUAGUCGAGUGACACUGCGCCGAAAAUGUACCGGGGCUAAACAUAUUACCGAAGCUGUGGAUUGUCCUUUGGACAAUGGUAGGAGAGCGUUCUAAGGGCGUUGAAGCAUGAUCGUAAGGACAUGUGGAGCGCUUAGAAGUGAGAAUGCCGGUGUGAGUAGCGAAAGACGGGUGAGAAUCCCGUCCACCGAUUGACUAAGGUUUCCAGAGGAAGGCUCGUCCGCUCUGGGUUAGUCGGGUCCUAAGCUGAGGCCGACAGGCGUAGGCGAUGGAUAACAGGUUGAUAUUCCUGUACCACCUAUAAUCGUUUUAAUCGAUGGGGGGACGCAGUAGGAUAGGCGAAGCGUGCGAUUGGAUUGCACGUCUAAGCAGUAAGGCUGAGUAUUAGGCAAAUCCGGUACUCAUUAAGGCUGAGCUGUGAUGGGGAGAAGACAUUGUGUCUUCGAGUCGUUGAUUUCACACUGCCGAGAAAAGCCUCUAGAUAGAAAAUAGGUGCCCGUACCGCAAACCGACACAGGUAGUCAAGAUGAGAAUUCUAAGGUGAGCGAGCGAACUCUCGUUAAGGAACUCGGCAAAAUGACCCCGUAACUUCGGGAGAAGGGGUGCUCUUUAGGGUUAACGCCCAGAAGAGCCGCAGUGAAUAGGCCCAAGCGACUGUUUAUCAAAAACACAGGUCUCUGCUAAACCGUAAGGUGAUGUAUAGGGGCUGACGCCUGCCCGGUGCUGGAAGGUUAAGAGGAGUGGUUAGCUUCUGCGAAGCUACGAAUCGAAGCCCCAGUAAACGGCGGCCGUAACUAUAACGGUCCUAAGGUAGCGAAAUUCCUUGUCGGGUAAGUUCCGACCCGCACGAAAGGCGUAACGAUUUGGGCACUGUCUCAACGAGAGACUCGGUGAAAUCAUAGUACCUGUGAAGAUGCAGGUUACCCGCGACAGGACGGAAAGACCCCGUGGAGCUUUACUGUAGCCUGAUAUUGAAAUUCGGCACAGCUUGUACAGGAUAGGUAGGAGCCUUUGAAACGUGAGCGCUAGCUUACGUGGAGGCGCUGGUGGGAUACUACCCUAGCUGUGUUGGCUUUCUAACCCGCACCACUUAUCGUGGUGGGAGACAGUGUCAGGCGGGCAGUUUGACUGGGGCGGUCGCCUCCUAAAAGGUAACGGAGGCGCUCAAAGGUUCCCUCAGAAUGGUUGGAAAUCAUUCAUAGAGUGUAAAGGCAUAAGGGAGCUUGACUGCGAGACCUACAAGUCGAGCAGGGUCGAAAGACGGACUUAGUGAUCCGGUGGUUCCGCAUGGAAGGGCCAUCGCUCAACGGAUAAAAGCUACCCCGGGGAUAACAGGCUUAUCUCCCCCAAGAGUUCACAUCGACGGGGAGGUUUGGCACCUCGAUGUCGGCUCAUCGCAUCCUGGGGCUGUAGUCGGUCCCAAGGGUUGGGCUGUUCGCCCAUUAAAGCGGUACGCGAGCUGGGUUCAGAACGUCGUGAGACAGUUCGGUCCCUAUCCGUCGUGGGCGUAGGAAAUUUGAGAGGAGCUGUCCUUAGUACGAGAGGACCGGGAUGGACAUACCUCUGGUGUACCAGUUGUCGUGCCAACGGCAUAGCUGGGUAGCUAUGUGUGGACGGGAUAAGUGCUGAAAGCAUCUAAGCAUGAAGCCCCCCUCAAGAUGAGAUUUCCCAACUUCGGUUAUAAGAUCCCUCAAAGAUGAUGAGGUUAAUAGGUUCGAGGUGGAAGCAUGGUGACAUGCGGAGCUGACGAAUACUAAUCGAUCGAAGACUUAAUCAAAUU